CCCCACUCCUCAAGACAUACUCCAAAGGCUUGGCUGCCAUGGCGUGGUGGAUCCCAGGCUACAUGGAAAGGCCAUAGGACCUAACACCUAUACAAAAGUGCGAUGAAUUGAAUUCUUGGAGACCUUUUUGAAAGAAUGUUCAUGGACUACACAGAGGUGUGAGAUUUAAUCUUAUUUUGGCCUUUCAUGUUAGAAGACAGUUCAGAGAAAAACAGCCAAGGAUAUGAUUACAGAAAUAGCAUAUGGGCCAAGAAAAGUUGGGUAGCAUCACUGAACAGCACCCGGGAGCAGCUAUAACUGCAACAUUACCAGGUAGCUUCAAGAAGAGGAGUGAUGAAGUCUCAUUUCUGAGGGUCCUGGUUCUGUUCUGCGAUGAGGCAGGAGGCUGACGUGCGACCAGGGCUUUUCCUGACCAAUCUGUCAGGUCUUUGGCACAGCCUUUAAGAUGUUCCAUGAGCGUAAGGAAAGGCACAGGCAACUUUAUGAAUGUAAGUCCCAAAUUAAACAGAGAAGUGCCUUAGUGGUCCUUCUCCUGA